CGACUUUUCUCGCAAAAGUCGAGUUUACAACUUUUCAUAUGUCAAUUCAAAUUUUUUAUAAUUGGCUUCAAAACACCUUCAAUUCUUCAUAAAUAUAUAAAACAGAUUCGCUGCUAGUUCUAUUGAGAACAGUGUACACUGCUAGGAAUAUUGGCCUAUGAUAUAUCUAGAGUAGUCGAGCAUCCACCUGAAGCAUUUUGGAACCUCUAUCUAGCCAAUUUAGGGCAACACUCUGCACUGGAUAUACACCACUGCUCGAGCAUUUCAAUGUGAUAAGGUGAUAAGUGACACUUACACUGUCAACUGUGAAACAUCCUUUAAUUUCUCCCAUUCGUGUUUCGUCAGUUUGGGAGACCAUUGCAUUCCGACAGACUUUGGAUUCUACAGGUGUGUCUGGAGGAUUACUUCAUUUAUGUUAUAUUUUAGCUUUUCAAUACAUCAUGUACCAAAAUUCGAGUGUACCAUGUACCAAUUUCCUCAAGUAUGACUGCCUUUGACAACUUGACUAUGACUAUAACUUCCAUGAAAAUACAAGAA